ACGAGAUUCCCACUGUCCCUAUCUACUAUCUAGCGAAACCACAGCCAAGGGAACGGGCUUGGUAGAAUCAGCGGGGAAAGAAGACCCUGUUGAGCUUGACUCUAGUCCGACUUUGUGAAGACACAUGAAGGGUGUAGCAUAGGUGGGAGCGCAAGCGCAAUUGAAAUACCACUACUUUUAUCGUUUCUUUACUUAUUCAGUCCAGCGGAGAGCGGGGCGCAAGCCCCUCGCUUCUGGAGUUAAGCGGCAACCGGCGCUCGUCGUCGGCCGCGAUCCGCUCUGAAGACAGUGUCAGGCGGGGAGUUUGACUGGGGCGGUACAUCUGUCAAAAGGUAACGCAGGUGUCCUAAGGCGAGCUCAGCGAGGACGGAAACCUCGCGUAGAGCAAAAGGGCAAAAGCUCGCUUGAUUUUGAUUUUCAGUACGAAUACAGACCGUGAAAGCGUGGCCUAUCGAUCCUUUUGACUUUAAGAGUUUUAAGCAAGAGGUGUCAGAAAAGUUACCACAGGGAUAACUGGCUUGUGGCAGCCAAGCGUUCAUAGCGACGUUGCUUUUUGAUCCUUC
rnacentral:rRNA from 1 species